UAAUACGGAGGGUGCAAGCGUUGUUCGGAAUUAUUGGGCGUAAAGCGCGUGUAGGCGGCUUUCUAAGUCUGGUGUGAAAUCCCGGAGCUUAACUCCGGAACUGCACUGGAUACUGGAAAGCUAGAGGGCGAGAGAGGAUGGUGGAAUUCCUGGUGUAGGGGUGAAAUCCGUAGAUAUCAGGAGGAACAUCAGUGGCGAAGGCGGCCAUCUGGCUCGCACCUGACGCUGAGACGCGAAAGCGUGGGGAGCAAACAGGAUUAGAUACCCUGGUAGUCCACGCCCUAAACGAUGGAUACUAGACGUUGGGGAGCCUAAUCUCCUCGGUGUCGUAGCUAACGCAUUAAGUAUCCCGCCUGGGAAGUACGGUCGCAAGAUUA
rnacentral:rRNA from 1 species